CCCUCUGCCCCCGCCCCGUGCUCUGCUGAGGCUGUAAAUAAUCGGGGCUGCCAGGGACGUGGGUCGGGGAACCUGGAGUGUCGCGGGGUGCCUGUGCCUCCGAGCCCCACUGGCCCCUGCGCCCAGAGACGCACUGGCUUUCUUCUCCCGCUGGCCCCGCGGCGUCAGGACAGAGGAUGACCGAACCGUAAAACCUUGCACCAUUGGGUUCAGCCUUUGGCCUCUCCUUUCCCGCUAAAUUUCUCUGAAUCCGGCUGGAGCAAGAUCUCUGGGUUUCACAGGAUGUUGGAUAUCCUGGGAGAGGAGCUGGAGAGAGGGCGAGGUCUUGCCCUGGGUGGCGCAGUGCCUCCGUGCCCACAGUGGGGAGUGAGGGGUGGGGAGUUGGUGAAUCUUCCAAGUGGAAAGAGGGAGAGCUCAUUCUUUUUCCCCUCAAUAACAAGUCCACAUGGCUUGAAUGAAUUUUAGCUUCUUGGCAGAACAGCUCAGGGAAAGCUACUGAUGGCCUGUCAUAGGGCUGGCAUUUGGCUCAGCUAACCCAUGUGUUCAAGCCAGUGUGAAUGGGCACCUCUCUCCACACACAUGCUCAUUCAUCCUCCUAAAUAUCCUUCCAUCCGCCCAUCCAUCUAUCCACCCAUCUUUCCUUAUGUCCUUCUGGGGCUCUCACAUCCAUCCAUCCUCCUGUCCAUCCACUAACCACUUAGGUCCAUCUAUCAUCCCACUCAUUCAUUCAUCCAACCACACACCUUUUAAUUUAUUCAACCACCUAUUCUUCUAUUCAUCUUCCCAUACAACUUCUCAUCCAUCAUUCCACACUUCCUUUUUCACAUCUCUUCAUAAAACCACAACCAUCCACCAUCCUCUUCUCCACCCAUCCACCCACAUAUCUGUUUAUUGAUAUAUCCACUCAUUUCCCAUCUGUCCAAGAUCAACAUAUCCACCUAUCAUUUUAUCCAUUCUCUCAUCCACCCAUACGUUCAUCUAUUAUUUUUGCCCCCAUUAUCCUCCUUUCUGUGUAAACAUUAAUUCAUUUUCUCCCAUCUUUCCUACCCAGCAGAUCUUAAAGAGAGGAAGAGUUUGUAAUAUUCUUCAGGGGAAGCCUUUUGAGAUUGAAAUAUCAUACUUUGAAUGAUAACUCUAUAUCUAUCUAUAAUAUACUAUGGUUUAAUGUUUGGAAAUCAAACGCAGUAUUUAUUUGUCAUGUGAACUACUAAAAGUAAAUCUGCAUGGACUUCUUGCCUGGUGAGUUACACAGAAAAUGAAAGUGAUUAUCAGUGGCUGUGGCAAGAUGAAAGGAACCAUGCCAGGACUUCUGAGGGAAGGAAGAGUGUUUGGGACUGAAAAAUCCUUGUCUGGAUCUAGUCCUCAGCCACUCAGAAGCUGGCAUGCCAUGACUCAAAGAGCCGCCCGUCUGGAAUGAAGACAGUGACCCGUAACUCCCACCUGAAGAGCAGGUGCUUGGAAAAUGCUGCCAGUCCGCAGGAAAAAGUUGUUACUGCUGCUGUCUGUGACCAAGAGGACACUUUAUUUCUUGAAACAACUGGGGGCAAACUGGCUCCCAGAUAAGGCUUCAGUCCCUACUCAUGUGAGGAAACCAGCCCUGGUCCACUGCACCUGUCACACCACAAACAAUGAUAAAA
rnacentral:lncRNA from 1 species